rnacentral:rRNA from 1 species
CCUCGGGCGGCUGCAGUGGGGAAUAUUGGACAAUGGGCGAAAGCCUGAUCCAGCCAUGCCGCGUGUGUGAAGAAGGCCUUCGGGUUGUAAAGCACUUUCAGUGGGGAAGAAAGCCUUGGGGCUAAUACCCUCGAGGAAGGACAUCACCCACAGAAGAAGCACCGGCUAACUCCGUGCCAGCAGCCGCGGUAAUACGGAGGGUGCGAGCGUUAAUCGGAAUUACUGGGCGUAAAGCGCGCGUAGGCGGUCUGAUAAGCCGGUUGUGAAAGCCCCGGGCUCAACCUGGGAACGGCAUCCGGAACUGUCAGGCUAGAGUGCAGGAGAGGAAGGUAGAAUUCCCGGUGUAGCGGUGAAAUGCGUAGAGAUCGGGAGGAAUACCAGUGGCGAAGGCGGCCUUCUGGACUGACACUGACGCUGAGGUGCGAAAGCGUGGGUAGCAAACAGGAUUAGAUACCCGUGUCGUC